rnacentral:rRNA from 1 species
UACGUAGGCAGCAAGCGUUGUUCGGAAUUACUGGGCGUAAAGAGUGCGUAGGCGGUUAGCUAAGUUUGGUGUGAAAUCUCCCGGCUCAACUGGGAGGGUGCGCCGAAAACUGGCUAGCUAGAGUAUGGGAGAGGAAAGUGGAAUUCCUGGUGUAGCGGUGAAAUGCGUAGAUAUCAGGAGGAACACCUGCGGUGUAGACGGCUUUCUGGACCAUGACUGACGCUGAGGCACGAAAGCGUGGGGAGCAAACAGGAUUAGAUACCCUGGUAGUCCACGCCCUAAACGAUGCAAACUUGGUGUGCGCCCUUCAUUGGGUGCGUGCCGAAGCUAACGCGUUAAGUUUGCCGCCUGGGGAGUACGGUCGCAAGGCUGAA